rnacentral:rRNA from 1 species
AUUGAACGCUGGCGGCAUGCUUUACACAUGCAAGUCGAACGGCAGCGCGGGCUUCGGCCUGGCGGCGAGUGGCGAACGGGUGAGUAAUACAUCGGAACGUGCCCAGCAGUGGGGGAUAGCUCGGCGAAAGCCGGAUUAAUACCGCAUACGACCUGAGGGUGAAAGCGGGGGAUCUUGGGACCUCUCGCUAUUGUAGCGGCCGAUGGCAGAUUAGCUAGUUGGUGGGGUAAAGGCGUACCAAGGCGGCGAUCUGUAGCUGGUCUGAGAGGACGACCAGCCACACUGGGACUGAGACACGGCCCAGACUCCUACGGGAGGCAGCAGUGGGGAAUUUUGGCCAAUGGGCGAAAGCCUGAUCCAGCAAUGCCGCGUGUGUGAUGAAGGCCUUCGGGUUGUAAAGCACUUUUGGCGGGAACGAAAAGGACUGUGCCAAUACCACGGUUCGAUGACGGUACCCGCAGAAUAAGCACCGGCUAACUACGUG